rnacentral:lncRNA from 1 species
CGCCGAGCUCCAGCUCCGUUGCGCUCCAGCACCGCCUAACCUGGAUCCUCCGCCGAGCUCCAGCUCCGUUGCACUCCAGCACCGCUGAACUCGGAUCCUCCGCCGAGCUCCAGGUCAGCUGAACACGGAUCCUCCGCCGAGCUCCGGGUCCGCUGCACUCCAACUCCACCAAACAACCUCUCCGCCCAACACUUCUUCAGCGGGUAAACCUCCGCUAGGCACUGCCACAGCUUUACUGGCAAAACCUGCAAGCUUCCACCGCAAGCCAAGCCUCACCGCCGGC